AACGCACAUUGCGCCCAUUAGUAUUCUAGUGGGCAUGCCUGUUCGAGCGUCAUUUCAACCCUUAAGCCCUGUUGCUUAGUGUUGGGAGCCUGCCUAAUCGCAGCUCCUCAAAGUAAGUGGCGGAGUCGGAUUGUGCUCUAAGCGUAGUAAUUUUUUCCUCGCUUCUGAAGACAGUCCUUCCCUAGCCGUUAAACCCCUUAUUUUUAAAGGUUGACCUCGGAUCAGGUAGGAAUACCCGCUGAACUUAA
rnacentral:misc_RNA from 1 species